AAUGAACGUUGGCGGCGUGGAUUAGGCAUGCAAGUCGAGCGAGUCUACCUAGUAGCAAUAUUGGGUAAGUCGAGCGGCGUAAGGGGCAGUAAUACCUGGGAACGUACCCUGAGGUCGGGGAUAGCUGCUGGAAACGGCGAGUAAUACCCGAUGAUCUUGGAAAAGCAAAGGCUUGCCGCCUUAGGAGCGGCCCAGGCGAUAUUAGCUAGUUGGUGGGGUAAUGGCCUACCAAGGCAUAGAUGUCUAGCGGGUGUGAGAGCACGACCCGCGCCACUGGCACUGAGACACUGGCCAGANACCUACGGGUGGGCUGCAGUCGAG
rnacentral:rRNA from 1 species